AGGUCUUUCCUUCCAGACGCAUCUUGAAAAUGAAACUAGGAUGUGGAUCUCCAAGUAGGCAGAAAUUACACUGUGGUUCCAGUGAGAACAAAGGCGUCCCAGGAAAACAGCAUCCAAGAUGGAGCUGUACAGAGGGAAGGGAGCAGCUGACACCUCCACACCGUCUCCCAUUAAAUACCAGCUCAUUUAAACAUAUCCCGUGGUGCCCUCCACAUCUGAAACUCUAAUGAACAGCUAUGACACAAUGAGGGAAUCUUCAGGACCCUCUACUGUAUCCGUAAUCAAAACAUAAAAGCAACAAACCAGAAGUUAACUGCCCCAUGGAGUAGGAUGCGUGGAAAUGGUGUUUGCUAGUGCUUCCUGUUUUCUAAUCCUGAGAUGUGACUGACGUCCAUAAAACUCAUUUGAGCGCAUAGUCCAGGGGUUUUCGUGUGUUCUGGGUUGAAUAUGUAUGGGUUGCAUCCUAUCACCACAUUUCUACCUUUACAGUAACUGUAAGUACUAGAAAGCAACUCGUUAGCUGUUGGUAAUUACAUGGUGACCACCCAUAUGCACUUUCUACUCUAUGGAUUUGUCUAACACAAUCAUCGCAUGGAGCCAAGAUAACAUGUGAUCCUUUGUGACCGUCAUCUUUGACUAGGCACAAUGUUUUGAGGUUUCAUGCUGUCUGAAAAAUGGACGCUGCCCACCCUCCUAAGCCUGAGACCUCUCUGCUGGAUGCACAGAUGACAUCUUUUUGUCCUUUGCUACUUUGAUGGGAUCUGGGUUACUGCAGUGUUGGGCUAAUGUGAAUACUGCUGGAACAGGCAUUGCUUUGCCAGGUCUUCUGGAGACGUAUUUGUUUAUUUCUUGAGUAUGUACUUGCAAAUGGAACUGUUGGCUCACAGCAUAAUGCUGUGUUUAACUUCUGGGGAGGAAUCAAACUGCCGUCCAAAGUGAGACACGUCCCCCACAUCCCCACCAACCGUGCAUUCAUUACACUCCCCCACCUUGUGGUAAUUCUGGCACUCUCGCUGUGUGUCUCUCUCUUUCUUUCUUUUUUCUCUCUCUCUUUUUUCUUCCUUUCUUUCUUUUUUUCCUUCUUUCUUUCUCUCUCCCUUUCUUUUUUCAUCUAUUCUUUUCAAAUUAUUUUUAAAAUAUCUUUAGAUUAUAAUAGAAUUGUAUUUACCCCCUUCUCUCUCUUUCCCCCUAAGCCUUCCCAUAUGCCGUUCCUUUUCAAAUUCAUGGCCUCUUCUUUCAUUAAUUGUUGUUAUGUAGACACACACACACUAAAUACACAAAUACAACCUCUUCAGGCUGAGUUUACAUAAUGUUACUUACUUAUAGGCAUGUUUUCAGGGCUGCCCAUUUAGUAUAGUUAACUGGUGUGCUCUUCCUUGGGGAAGACAGUUUCUCCCAGCCUCUGCAUUCCUUAGUUGCUUGUGGGUCUUUUUGUAGGACUGAGGCCUGACAGUCCUUUACUCAUCCAUGUUAGCAUGUCUAUUGCUGGUGUUCUUGUUCAGCUCAUAUUUAGACAGUCCCACUGGUAAGACUUUAUGGGUGUAGCUUCUAGUUACUCCCUUAUCCCCUGGCUCUUCCGAUCUUUCUGCCUCCCCUUCUACAAUGAUCCCUGAGUCUCCCCAGCAAAUCCAAGUGAUGACUUCACUGUGAUUUGCAUCUGAAUUUCAUUCCUGGCUAAGUGAUACUGAGAAUCUCUUAUGUGCUCAUUGGCAGCUAGCAUAUUUUCGUGGGAGAAAUAUGUGUUCAGCAUUUAUGCCCUCUUUGGAGCUAGCAGGUUUAUCUUCUUAUUGUUGAAUUUUGAAUUUUCUUUAUAUAUGAUGGAUGAGCCCUUUCAAGAUAUUUUCAAAUAUCUUUCUCAUUUUGUUUUGUUUUUAAUUCCUCUUUUGUCCCUUGUGCUUUCUGGGUUGGACCUAUCGAAUCAUUAUUUAUUCUAAUAUCAUAAAGAUAUUCUGAUACCAUAUUUUCCUUCUGGGAUGUAGUAAUUUGAGCUUUUAUAUUUAGGCCACUAAUUCCUGUUUAGCUCACUUUUGUAUAUGGUGCAGGAAAGCGAUGUGACUUCAUUCCUUCAUGGUGGACACCCACAGGUUCUGGAACCAUUUAUGGAAAAGACUAAUCUUUACUCACUGAGUUAUUCCAGCAACGAGGUUUGAAAAAUCAGCCACAUAAGGGUUUAAUUCUGGAAUCCCAGUGCUAUUCAGUUCCCCAUGAUCCAUGGUCAUGACACGUCACACUGUUAAAUUACUGAAAAUGGGGAGCUUCACACUUUGUUUCAAACCUCAGUUUGUCUGUCCAGUGCCUUUUUCAUUCUCACGUGAAGUUCACAACCAAAACUCCAGGUCUGAGGAAAACUGAAUUCACAGUAUAGAUCAGUCUGAAGGUAUAGAAGGAAUUUCAUGGGGGUUUCUGCCUCUCUCUAGCCCGUAUAGAUCCUGAAUAAUAAAACCACACAGACACCUGGUGGUUUUACUAAUAAGCUGUUCACUCUAUGCUGGGCAGGUUCUGAGCUAUAUUAAUCCUUCCAUGCUGUUAAAACCCACAUGAAUGCCCCAUGACUUGACAACUUAGUAUCUCCCGGGCAGCUUCUGCUAGAGUUGGCUGUCCUCAGGGUGAACUUCUCCUGGCCACAUGUUCCUGGUCCACCCUGCCCAAUGGCGAACUUCUUCUCCACCUCCUCUUGCUCUUACCCUCCUGGUCCCUCCCCUGGAUCUCAAGUCCCACCUUCUUCUCUCUCCAGCAAAGUCAGUGUCCAAUAGGCGAUUACUGGGGAGCAUUCUUUACAGCACAUUGGUCAGUACAAUGCCCAUGCCCAGACUGUAACCUGACCUUGGGACACAGAUCUCAGCAUCUGAAUACAGGGCACCCAAGAUCAAUUCCAACACUGAGGGCUACUGAUGUCUACACCACAUCCUACCUUCCAAUCCAUGAACAUGGGCUAUCUUCACAUUCAUCUGAGUGCUCUUUAAUCUCUUCUAACAAUAUUUCAUACAUUCAUAACUCUUGAUUUUUACAUUUAUGAACAUUUGUAUGUGUCAAAACGGCUUCUCUAUUUUAUUUUUCUGCUCUUACUGCAAGCAGAAUGAUUUUCUCUAAUUCCUUUGGAGCGGUAUCAUUGCUCCUACACGGAAGCAAAAUGGCUUCUGCAUGUUGAGCAGUCACCUCACAAUCGGGUUGAACUUGGCUGCGAGUUGUCACCCUUUCCAAUUUGAGUUCCUAAGAUGCAAAGUGAUUCAUUCUGCAAGGAAGGCAGUUUUGAUUUUUUUUUUUCUUCCUUUCUAGUUUGGAUGGGUUCUGGCUGCUAACACCCCUGUCCCAUUUUUGGAUGUUAGGGAGACAUCAUCCAAGCUUUCGGUGUAAAUAUAUCAGUGGUGGACUUUCUAUAGGUCCCAUUAAUUUCUAUAGGCACCAUUAAUUUCUAUAGGUACCAUUAAUGAGGUGAUGGAAUAGCCUGAGUAUGGUUUUUAGUCAACAAAGUGUACUGAACUAUUUACAAAUGAUGUUUCUGUAUCCAUCCAGAUGGCUCUAUAUUCUAUAUUCUCCUGGUUUCUAUUUCUUUCAUUGAUUAAUUUCUGAAUAUUUACCACUGAGUCCCUAGAGAGUCAGUCAGUAGAUAAUCCUUUUGUUUGUACAUUAUUUCAUUUGGUUGGCUGGUGCUUUGUUGAAGAUUUUGUGUCUGUUCCUGUGUGACGCUGGUCCGUCGGUUUCUUCUGAAGACUUUGAUUUUGACAUCUAGCUAACACUGCCUUCUUAUAGGAAUUUGGAAGCAUUCCCUUCUUGCCCAUGUUCUUGGCAAGGUGAUAAAGAACUGAUAGUCAAGUUUGGUUCAGUGCUUGGGGGGGAAAGCAUGCACAGCACAGCUAGAGAGAAGUAUAUCUGAUAAAUCACAUUUUUAAGUAUUCAUGAAAUCUCAUUAUCAUGGGGCAAUCUGGAUCUUGUUAGGAGAUCACGGCAUUUGUUUCUGUUGCUUGAUCUGUUUUCCAACUUGUCACCACUUAAAAAUAAGCGUGGUGAAAUGAUUGUGGUCAGCUGGGUUUGUCCCGGAUAACUUCUUUCUUAUACAUGGUGUGCAUCAUGGCUGUCAUUAAACAGCUCCAAAUGGUGCCAUUCCUUUCUGAAGACUGGAUUUGAGGGCUCUGAGGCAGCAGCUCCCUGCUGUAUGCAUCAGCCUUGCUUUACACCAAAGUAGAGCAAAGUCUGUGCCUGAGAGGCUUACGAGCAAAGCAGACUCUUUGGAAAACGUGACAUUAGAGGAAGGGCAGACACACAAGCGUAUUAUUACAUCUGAGCUCAUUUUUUAUUAUAACUCUAACAUUUGGUCAAUUCUCCAAGCUGUUUUCUCCCCCAUGCCCCUGGCCUUGGGAUGGUCCGGUUAACAUCCACUGAGAAUUGGGGUACACAGGUCAUUUAACUUUCAUGAAAACUUUGGGUGGCGUUCAUUCUUGUUGCUAUUGUUCAGUCAGGAUAGGUUUGUGCAUUACACUAUUAUAGAAUUAAUAACAUAAUUAGAGGCAACUUUCCUGAGGUUGGGAUUCAAAGAUUUGAGUCAACAAAAGUAAACCAGUAAACAAAUGACUGGAUAAGAACAAGGCAAAAGAUGAUUCCAGUUCGAAUGUAGAAUGCCACCCACAGCUUCGGGGUUGUGAAUUUAGGCAUCAGCAGCAGCCAUAUUGGAACACUGAAGUGGAAACUUCUAUUUUCUUUGGAAAGUUAGUUAUAUCAAAUAAUGUUUUUCUGGGGCACACAGGUGAAAGGAUGUAUUGCUAAAGCAAAUAUGUGAAAGACUAUUUUUCUGAAGCAGACACAGGUAAAGGGAUAUUUUGAUAUAGCAAACAUGUAUAAGGACGACUGAUGAAGGAGUAUAAAUAUAACCCCAUGGACAGUGGGAGACAAGCACUGAGCAUUGGUUUGGUUUGCUCCGCCUUGCUAUUCUUUGAUAAUGACACACAUAUAUUGGUUUGACUUACAUAGAGUUGUUGAGCUCAACUUGUGUUAACGCUGACAUUGAGAAAAACUUGCCCAAGAAUGGCUAGUGAGCUUCCUGCAGCUUGCUGCUUCCACAUCCUCGCCUCAGGCCAGUUGGCAAACUUGGGGGUUUCUUCAGGGUUGAACUACAGCUGCCUGGUGUCGGCUUGCUGAAAGGACUGGAUUGUAGCUGUUGGUUCGCGCCUGGUGUCUGCCCGUCUAGAGGACUGGUCUGCAGCUGCUGAAUCAUAUUUGAUGUUUGCUAUGGGACUGAACUGCUGCCCAAGAAGAUCAAGCUGAACAGAAACUGGGAACAGAAGACCGGAGCUUGCAAGUUGGCGAUGAGCACAGCCCAGCAUCUGACCAGCCGGUGGUAUCUCUACACCAUUGCCCUUUGGCCACAAAAAGAAAACCUGAGUCUGUGACUGCUUGUCUUUUAGAUGCUUUGAGGCAGAGUGACCAUGGUGACCUUCAGUGGCCGUGGGUCCUCUUCUAGGCACCGUUGGUCAUGCCGUGUUCCCAAGCAUGGAAACCUACUGGAGACCUUAGUCUGGAUGCACAGCGGAUGUGGGGGACACAUUAGCUCUCCCAUUUCCAUUCUCAUCAUUAAUGUUUAAUUGCACAACACCAGAGGCAGGCUAUGUACCUAGCACCGAAACCUUGUCACCUCUAUUAAUUAAAACAGGCUUAUGGAAUAUGAAA